UGGGGAAUCUUGGACAAUGGGCGCAAGCCUGAUCCAGCCAUACCGCGUGGGUGAAGAAGGCCUUCGGGUUGUAAAGCCCUUUUGUUGGGAAAGAAAAGCAGCCAGUUAAUACCUGGUUGUUCUGACGGUACCCAAAGAAUAAGCACCGGCUAACUUCGUGCCAGCAGCCGCGGUAAUACGAAGGGUGCAAGCGUUACUCGGAAUUACUGGGCGUAAAGCGUGCGUAGGUGGUUGUUUAAGUCUGUUGUGAAAGCCCUGGGCUCAACCUGGGAAUUGCAGUGGAUACUGGGCGACUAGAGUGUGGUAGAGGGUAGUGGAAUUCCUGGUGUAGCAGUGAAAUGCGUAGAGAUCAGGAGGAACAUCCAUGGCGAAGGCAGCUACCUGGACCAACACUGACACUGAGGCACGAAAGCGUGGGGAGCAAACAGGAUUAGAUACCCUUGUAGUCCCUGAGCGGGCUGGCAAGGCGCAU
rnacentral:rRNA from 1 species